rnacentral:ncRNA from 2 species
UAAUAAUUUAUGGGGAGCUGAUUAUGUCGGCUGAGAUAGGAAACUCGAUUUACUGACCCUUGAACCUGAUCCGGGUAAUGCCGGCGUAGGAAUAUUGAUGACAUAUUUG